UCACCAGACUCUAAGUCACUAUGUGUUCACCUUCAUAAUAGUGAUAAUACAUUCAUUUUUAUUUCCCUCUCCUAGUUUAGUUUUGAUAUCAAAGGAGUGUUAUUAUAUGGAGUUAAUAAAAUUGGUCAUGAAGAAUUGUUAUCCAGAGUUAGAUAAGGUAACAUUAUUAUUAGAAGUUUUUUAGUAGAUGUAAAUGAAAGGCUCAAGAUGAUAUUGGUUGUAGUACUACUAGUUAUCUGUUGUUGGACAAGAUUUUCAUUCCAGAUUCAGGUAACAGGGGAACACGCUGAUAAAAUUGAUGCAUUGAGAAUCUGGCUGCUUGACAACCCACCCACUUUCUAGACAUAUUGUGAUUCCUAAUUGCGAGGGAUGAUUUCCCAUAUAGUUUUAUCAAGAGUUUUUAUCAAGAGAUGAUGAAAAUGAUUUUACAAAUAAAGAGAAGGUUGUGCAUAAAGGACCAUACCGUCAAGAUGUGAUAGUAAGUAUGAAAAGUAUUAUCUUGUAAGUUUUCAAGCUUUGAUGUACUAGGCAUUUUACUUAUUGCCCUGCUUCUUGGUUUAUCUUUUGUGUGUGUUACGUU